GAUGAAGAACGCAGCGAAAUGCGAUACUUGGUGUGAAUUGCAGAAUCCCGUGAACCAUCGAGUCUUUGAACGCAAGUUGCGCCCGAAGCCAUCAGGUUGAGGGCACGUCUGCCUGGGCGUCACAUAUCGUUGCCCAAUGCCUAUUGCAGUGCAAUAGGAAUUUCUAGGGCGAAUGAUGGCUUCCCGUGAGCGUUGUUGCCUCGCGGUUGGUUGAAAAUCGAGUCCUUGGUAGGGUGUGCCAUGGUAGAUGGUGGUCGAGUUAGAACGAUACCGAUCAUGUGCAUGCUCCCCAAAAUAUGGCCUCUAUGACCCACACGCGUCUUUUGACGCUCAUGACGAGACCUCAGGUCAGGCGGGGCUACCCGCUGAAUUUAAGCAUAUCAAUAACGGAGGA
rnacentral:misc_RNA from 1 species